UGCAAGAGCAUGGGCCACAUG
rnacentral:misc_RNA from 1 species